rnacentral:rRNA from 1 species
UACGGGGGGGGGCAAGCGUUGUCCGGAAUCAUUGGGCGUAAAGCGCGCGUAGGCGGCCCGAUAAGUCCGCUGUGAAAGUCCAGGGCUCAACCCUGGAAAGCCGGUGGAUACUGUCGGGCUAGAGUCCGGAAGAGGCGAGUGGAAUUCCUGGUGUAGCGGUGAAAUGUGUAGAGAUCGGGAGGAACACCGGUGGCGAAGGCGGGUCUCUGGGCAUCUCCUGACGCUGAGGCGCGAAAGCGUGGGGAGCAAACAGG